UGCAGUUAAUCCAAGCAGCAGGUGCUUUUUUUUCCCAGUGACCAGUCAACACUAGUCAGGUCUGUGAAGCUGGGAUCAGAGGGAACCAAAAUAUCUGUUGUUUGCACAACUCUGUGAUGGGUCAUUAAGGACCAUGCCCAGCUGCACCUGCAGGGUAUGCUCCAGCUGGAGGUGGAACUUAAAAGAGAGCCAGAAGGAGCCUGACCAGGCAGAGAGAAGGACUGGUCCUGAGUUCUCCUGGGGAAGGGAGUAGCAGAAACUUCCUGGUGAGGAAGAGCCUUCCUGCUGAAGCCAGAGGGGCUGAAGCCUAAUAUUUCACACACAAAGUUGGCAGGAAGAGGAUUAGAAGGAAUUUGUUCUGCAUUAAAGCCUGGUUGCAGGAUCUUUUCAAUAGAAGGCUUAAACUGAAUGGAGAUUUAAAUGAAAGCGUGCGUGGAACAGAGCCAAAAUCAGAGACCACUUUGUGCUAUAGGUAAGGCUGUCUUUCAGAGGCUAAAAGAAAGUAUUUGAUUGCUGCAUGUGUCAAGGAGUGAACCCACUUACCAUAACACAGUGUGGGACCAGCAGAAUCUCCCUACUGGGGUGGCAGAGCAUUAAGAACUGAAUAUUGAAACACCUGAGGCUAAAUUCAUCCCUGGUAUAACUCUGCUGAGCUCAGAAGCUUGGAAAGCAGAGCUGCAACUGGAUAGAGGGAGCAGGAAGUUUCACUGAUCUGCACGAUCCUGUCACAUAUGUUUCCACUCUGGGUAG